rnacentral:tRNA from 1 species
GGAGGAAUAGUUUAGUAGUUAAGAGCAUUAGCUGCUCUUCUAGAGGACCUGGGUUCAAUUCCCAAUACCUACA